UUUUUUUUGGAAGUAGACAUCAAAUGCACUUUAAACCAUAAAUGAAUAUGAAAGAGGAAGCAAAACAGGCAAGAGUCUCAACCUUAUCAAUUUGUCUCCUUCAUUUAAAGUUUGGAUUCAUAAUAGCUUUCAGAUUUUGUU
rnacentral:sRNA from 1 species